AUUUUAAUCACUAAACCCUCUUUAUCGCAUUGAUCAAUUCAGUAAGUGAACUAAUUUUAAAAAUUUAAUAUUUAGAAACUAUUGACAAGGUCCUAAAUCGUUUAGUAUAUUUCUUCUUAGAUUACAAGUUUAAUUUAAAUUUUUAAAAUAAAAGAGAAAUACCAUGGAGAGUUUGAUCCUGGCUCAGGAUGAACGCUGGCGGUAUGCUUAACACAUGCAAGUCGAACGAAAGUUUUUAACUUUAGUGGCGAACGGGUGCGUAAUACGUGAGAAUCUGCCCUUAGGAGGAGUAUAACUGUUGGAAACGACUGCUAACACUCCAUAUGUCGAGAGAUGAAAAAUUUAUUGCCUAAGGAUGAGCUCGCCUGAUUAGCUAGUUGGUGAGGUAAUGGCUCACCAAGGCCACGAUCAGUAGCUGGUUUGAGAGAACGAUCAGCCACACUGGGACUGAGACACGGCCCAGACUCCUCCGGGAGGCAGCAGUGAGGAAUUUUCCGCAAUGGGCGAAAGCCUGACGGAGCAAUACCGCGUGAGGGAUGAAGGAUUUUGGUCUGUAAACCUCUUUUCUCAAGAAAGAAGUUCUGACGGUACUUGAGGAAUAAGCAUCGGCUAACUCCGUGCCAGCAGCCGCGGUAAUACGGGGGAUGCAAGCGUUAUCCGGAAUCAUUGGGCGUAAAGCGCCUGUAGGUUGUUUAAUAAGUCUGUUGUUAAAGACUAGGGCUUAACCCUAGAAAAGCAAUGGAAACUACUAGACUAGAGUAUGGUAGGGGUAGAGGGAAUUUCUAGUGUAGCGGUGAAAUGCGUAGAUAUUAGAAAGAACACCAGUGGCGAAAGCGCUCUACUGGACCAUUACUGACACUCAGAGGCGAAAGCUAGGGUAGCAAAAGGGAUUAGAUACCCCUGUAGUCCUAGCCGUAAACGAUGGAUACUAGAUGUUGUGCUUUUAGUACAGUAUCGUAGCUAACGCGUUAAGUAUCCCGCCUGGGGAGUACGCUCGCAAGGGUGAAACUCAAAGGAAUUGACGGGGGCCCGCACAAGCGGUGGAGCAUGUGGUUUAAUUCGAUGCAACGCGAAGAACCUUACCAGGGCUUGACAUACUACAAAUUUCUUUGAAAGAAGAAAGUGCCUUCGGGAAUGUAGAUACAGGUGGUGCAUGGCUGUCGUCAGCUCGUGUCGUGAGAUGUUGGGUUAAGUCCCGCAACGAGCGCAACCCUUAUUUUUAGUUACCAAUUCGUUGGGUUCUCUAGAAAGACUGCCGGUGACAAACCGGAGGAAGGUGAGGAUGACGUCAAGUCAGCAUGCCCCUUAUGUCCUGGGCUACACACGUGCUACAAUGGCUAAGACAAAGAGUCGCGAGCUCGUAAGAGUCAGCUAAUCUCAUAAACUUAGCCCAAGUUCAGAUUGUAGGCUGCAACUCGCCUACAUGAAGUUGGAAUCGCUAGUAAUCGCUGGUCAGCCAUACAGCGGUGAAUCCGUUCCCGGGCCUUGUACACACCGCCCGUCACACCAUGGGAGCUGGUCAUACCCGAAACCGUUUGCUUAACCUUUUGGAGAGCGGCGUCUAAGGUAGGGCUAGUGACUGGGGUGAAGUCGUAACAAGGUAGCCGUACUGGAAGGUGCGGCUGGAUCACCUCCUU
rnacentral:rRNA from 1 species